rnacentral:misc_RNA from 1 species
UCCGGCUUAUCACCGGCGGUUUCUUUAGAGUGCCCAACUAAAUGAUGGCAACUAAAGACGAGGGUUGCGCUCGUUGCGGGACUUAACCCAACAUCUCACGACACGAGCUGACGACAGCCAUGCAGCACCUCGACUCCGGUCUCUCGCGAGAAGUCUCUGUUUCCAAAGAUGUUCCAAAGCCGUUCGAGCCCAGGUAAGGUUCUUCGCGUUGCGUCGAAUUGAACCACAUGCUCCACCGCUUGUGCGAGCCCCCGUCAAUUCCUUUGAGUUUCAGCCUUGCGGCCGUACUCCCCAGGCGGGGCCCUUACUGCGUUAGCGACGGCACCGGGAGGGUCGCUCCCCCCGACGCCUAGUGCCCAUCGUUUACGGCGUGGACUAC